rnacentral:rRNA from 1 species
UGUCGUUCUUGAAACCCGAACAGGGAAUUCCUAGGCCUCUGGGCCACCUCCCACCCGUGUCUUCGUACCUUGUUGCUUCGGGGGCCCGCCGUUUCGACGGCCGCCGGGGAGGCCUUGCGCCCCCGGGCCGCGCCCGCCGAAGACCCCAACAUGAACGCUGUUCUGAAAGUAUGCAGUCUGAGUUGAUUAUCGUAAUCAGUUAAAACUUUCAACAACGGAUCUCUUGGUUCCGGCAUCGAUGAAGAACGCAGCGAAUGCGAUAAGUAAUGUGAAUUGCAGAAUUCAGUGAAUCAUCGAGUCUUUGAACGCACAUUGCGCCCCCUGGUAUUCCGGGGGGCAUGCCUGUCCGAGCGUCAUUGCUGCCCUCAAGCACGGCUUGUGGUUGGGCCCCCGUCCCCCUCUCCCGGGGGACGGGCCCGAAAGGCAGCGGCGGCACCGCGUCCGGUCCUCGAGCGUAUGGGGCUUUGUCACCUGCUCUGUAGGCCCGGCCGGCGCCAGCCGACACCCACUUUAUUUUUCUAAGGUUGACCUCGGGAUCAGGUAGGGGAUACCCGCUGAGCUUAAGCAUAUCAAUAAGCGGAGGAAAAGAAACCAACAGGGAUUGCCUCAGUAACGGCGAGGGAAGCGGCAAGAGCCAAAUUUGAAGCUGGCCCCUUCGGGGUCCGCGUUGUAAUUUGCAAAGGAUGCUUCGGGUGCAGCCCCCGUCUAAGUGCCCUGGAACGGGCCGUCAUAGAGGGUGAGAAUCCCGUCUGGGACGGGGUGCUGCGUCCGUGUGACGCUCCUUCGACGAGUCGAGUUGUUUGGGCAUGCAGCUCUAAAUGGGUGGUAAAUUUCAUCUAAAGCUAAAUACUGGCCGGAGACCGAUAGCGCACAAGUAGAGUGAUCGAAAAUGAAAAGCACUUUGAAAAGAGAGUUAAACAGCACGUGAAAUUGUUGAAAGGGAAGCGUUUGCGACCAGACUCGCCCGCGGGGUUCAGCCGGCAUUCGUGCCGGUGUACUUCCCCGUGGGCGGGCCACGUCGGUUUGGGCGGCCGGUCAAAGGCCCUCGGAAUGUAUCACCUCUCGGGGUGUCUUAUAGCCGAGGGUGCAAUGCGGCCUGCCGGACCGAGGAACCGGUCGGCUCGUUUGUGGAAGUAAAAGUCCAAGUGUGAAUAUACCA